CUGGAAGAAACCCAGUGUCCCAGGAGAAGGUGGCCUUGUGCCCAGGAAUGUGGUGGUUUCCAUGGCAAUAAAUGAAGAUGGGCUGUCUAGGGCUAAAUCUGAUCCCAGCAAGCUCCAAAGGUUGCCAAGUGAUUCUCUGCAUAGGAAGAACAUUGGCUUUUGAGAAGAAAGCUGGUUCUAGUUUGACUUGCCCAGUAUCUAAGUGGAUACUUCUCUCCUGCAUAGGUCCACACAGAAAAAAAGCUUACCAUGAUGACCUGGUGGCCCAUUUUUAUCAUCCAGAGACACCAUAAGCAUGGAGCACUUCUCAAGCCGUGCACAUAAACAACCAGGCAGCAGAGUCCCCAUCCUUUGCUGAUGCCAUUUUUGGUGUUUGUGCCUUCCCUAGCCAGCCCCGAGCCUUCCAUUCCUACCCAGGAGAUGCACUCUCUAAAGCUCUUUGACUUGGGUUUGUAGUGACAGCUUUUUUUUGUGGGGUGAAACCCUUCAUAUAACUUAGCACAGCAGCCUCUGUAUGUUCACAUUUCCUUGGGCUAACAAUCUGUGACUUUUUCUGAGAGAAGGGUUCUAUGCAUCAGGUUCUGGAAAGCUCUUUCACACAGCUAUAACUCUGAAGAGCUUUUGUCUUUCUCUGGAAGAAAACCUUUGAAAACAGCUGCUGUGUCCAUUUGAAGGAGAAGAGCUUAGGUAAACCAUCUAUGAAAAGGCAGAAGUGUGGCAAGUUGAAAUAACAUCUCUGGACAUUAAGAAAAAAACCAGACAUUUGGACUGUGCAUGGUGUGGAGCUCUGUGAGGGAUGAGCAGGUUGUUGUUUUCAUCAGAUGGACUGAUCAGUUCAAAAGUAUUGCCAUUGGCUUGUCCAAU